UACGUAGGCAGCGAGCGUUGUUCGGAGUUACUGGGCGUAAAGCGUGCGUAGGCGGUGUCUUAAGUUUGUUGUGAAAUCUCCCGGCUUAACCGGGAGGGUGCGGCGAAUACUGAGAUGCUGGAGUGCCGGAGAGGUAAGCGGAAUUCCUGGUGUAGCGGUGAAAUGCGUAGAGUAUCAGGAGGAACACUGCGGUGUAGACGGCUUACUGGACGGUAACUGACGCUGAGGCACGAAAGCGUGGUAGCAAACAGG
rnacentral:rRNA from 1 species